CCUGGACCCAGCUGGUUCUCUCUGGGGAGCAGAGCUCUCGGGGUCCCCUGCACCAUGGCCUGGACUCUUGUCUGCCUCCUCCUGUUCACCUGCUGCUCAGGUUCCUUCUCCCAGCCUGUGCUGACUCAGUCUCCCUCCAUGUCUGUGUCCCUGGGAGCCACAGCCAAACUCUCCUGCACCCUCAGCAGUCAGGAGAGCUAUUACCCAAUUGCAUGGCACCAGCAGAGCCCGGGAAAGGCCCCUCGGUACCUCAUGUAUGUCACCAGCAGUGGAAGUACAGGCAAGGGCGAGGGGGUCCCCGACCGCUUCUCGGGCUCCGGCUCUGGGGCCAAUCGCUACUUGUCCAUCAGCAACAUCCAGCCUGAGGAUGAAGCCGAUUACUACUGCGGAGUACCUUAUGGUAGUGGUGGUAACUAUGGUUUACACAGUGAUACAUUCAGUGGGGAAGUGGGACAAAAACCCCCCUGCCAGCCCAGCCCCUGCCCCACAGCUGGCCCCGACUUCUGACACAGCCCCAGCUGCUAAAGGGCCCGG